AGACUGUAGAUUUGGGCAUUUAUCGGAACAGGAAUGGAUAUACAAAUGUAUAAAUUAAGCGUAUGAAUAUGAGCAAGUAGAAACCUUAGAAUGAUCCUCCCGAAUGGCGAAUUCGAUGACCGUGACCAUGCAAAAUCAUCGUCUUCCUCCUGCUGCUGCGACUACCCCACUGUCAGCCAGCAGCAAGCACACUGUCGCCUUCGCCACGCCUCCAAACUACGCAGCUCGCCUCUCUCACCUCCUCACCCUCAAGGGCUACAUUCCUCUUUGGUGCCCCACUGUUCUUGUCCAUCCGACACCACACCUCCUUCUUCCUUACCUAUCUCCUCCCUUCCUCCAACCCUUCUCCGCCCUUGCCUUCACCUCACGUACAGCUAUCCACUCGUUCUCCGCCGCCGCCGCCCGUCUCAACCACGCUCUUCUUUCCCCUCAAGGCGACACCUUUCUCAUCGCCGCUCUGGGCAAAGACGCGGAGCUCAUCGACAGUGACGUCCUGGCGAAGUUCUGUCACGACCCCAAUCGGAUUAGAGUUUUGGUCCCCCCGACCGCGACACCUAGAGGUCUGGUGGAAUCGCUUGGGGAAGGGAACGGUCGGAAGAUUCUGUGUCUGGUCCCACUCGUGGUGGGUCUGGAAGAGCCUUCCGUGGUCCCUGACUUUCUCCGGGACCUGGAGGCAAAUGGGUGGGCUCCGGUCAGGGUAAACGCUUACGAGACGCGCUGGGCGGGGCCGGAGUGCGCGAGGGAGGUGGUGGAGAGGUGCGAGAGUGGGGCAUUGGGUGCGCUCGUGUUCACGAGCACGGCCGAGGUGGAGGGUUUGCUGAAGAGCCUGAGGGAGUUUGGGUGGACGAACUUGGGAGAACUGGUGAGGGAAAGGUGUCCGGAGAUGGUGUUGGCGGCGCACGGUCCCGUCACGGCGGCAGGGGCGGAGCGGUUGGGGUGAAGGUUGAUGUGGUGAGCUCCAGGUUUGACAGUUUUGAUGGUGUUGUUGAUGCUCUUGGAUUGAGAUAAAUGACCGAAGGCGUUCGGAAUUAUAGAUCAAGUUUGUAUCUUAACUUCGUUUUCCUUUGGUGUCCCAAAAAUCGAGUGUUUAAAGAUGACCAAUUCUAAGAAACAGAUCAGAGCAAGAUGGUUUCAGGACUGCUUUUCUGGUUUAUGACUACUGAGUUCAUACACAGACAUUACCAAAUUGUUGGAGCAAUCGGAGUGAUGUUACUAUCUUGUGGCCUCUGCCCAGAUAGCAGCUUCAGUGCCUCUUCCAUGGAUGGCCGAUCACAGGUCCUACUCCUAGUACAGAGCAAAGCAACUUCAAGAACCAAUUUGAUCUCCUCUUGCACAGAGGUUCUAGGAUCAACUUCAUUCUCAUUGUAAAUUUCUCUCAAAACCACCUCCGUUGGCUUGCUAUGUAUGCUUGUUCCUGCAUUUGUCAACUUGCCAUUGGUUAAAAUUUCCAGAACGAGCUCUCCAAAGUUGUAAACGUCCAUGUAAAGCUCGUCUUUUAUGGCUCUGUUGAAUUCACCUGUGCAAAGAUACAGAAAAUAAACCUCAAAAGGACUGCUUCUAGCUCCUGAGUAGAGACUGAGAAUAUAUAAAGCUAAUAGAUGCCGUGUCCAGAUGUCUUCAUUGUCUCUGUAGGCAAAAUAGACUGGUUUUGAUGUCCUCUUUGAAAAAAGUAGAACUAAUUUGCUGUUCCUGAUUGUAUGCUAUGAUUGCAAAGGAAUACUAUUGGGGAUACUCUUUGACUUAAUAAGCAGAAACGUUCUUGAU